rnacentral:rRNA from 1 species
AACUUUUAACAACGGAUCUCUUGGCUCUCGCAUCGAUGAAGAACGCAGCGAAAUGCGAUAAGUAAUGUGAAUUGCAGAAUUCAGUGACUCAUCGAAUCUUUGAACGCACCUUGCGCUCCUUGGUAUUCCGAGGAGCAUGCCUGUUUGAGUGUCA